rnacentral:snRNA from 1 species
GUGCUCAGUCACUUUGGCAGCACAUACAUUAAAACUGGGAUGAUACCGAGAAGAUUAGAAUGGCCCUUACACUAGGAUGACAUGCAAAUUCAUGAAAUGUCCCAUAUUUUU